rnacentral:rRNA from 1 species
AACGAACGCUGGCGGCGCGCUUAACACAUGCAAGUCGAACGAGAAGGCGUAGCAAUACGCUUGUACAGUGGCGAACGGGUGAGUAAUACGUGGGCGACCUACCCUCGAGUGGGGAAGUAACCCGCCGAAAGGCGGGCUAAUGCCGCGUACGCUUCCAUCUUUAUGGAGGUGGAAGGAAAGCCGUGCCGUGGGCACGGCGCUCAAGGAUGGGCUCACGUCCUAUCAGCUUGUUGGAGGGUAACGGCCUACCAAGGCUCCGACGGGUAGCUGGUCUGAGAGGACGAUCAGCCACACUGGCACUGCGACACGGGCCAGACUCCUACGGGAGGCAGCAGUGAGGAAUAUUGCGCAAUGGGCGAAAGCCUGACGCAGCGACGCCGCGUGGGGGA